GGUUGUAAAUACGAGGCCAUAGCAGAAGUGCUCAUGGCAUGGCCACCUCAGAUUCAAAUGAAUCUGCAAAUUCUGCU
rnacentral:ribozyme from 1 species